rnacentral:rRNA from 1 species
AUUGAACGCUGGCGGAAUGCUUUACACAUGCAAGUCGAACGGCAGCACGGACUUCGGUCUGGUGGCGAGUGGCGAACGGGUGAGUAAUAUAUCGGAACGUGCCCAGUCGUGGGGGAUAACGUAGUGAAAAUUACGCUAAUACCGCAUACGAUCUACGGAUGAAAGCGGGGGAUCGCAGGACCUCGCGCGAUUGGAGCGGCCGAUAUCAGAUUAGGUAGUUGGUGAGGUAAAGGCUCACCAAGCCGACGAUCUGUAGCUGGUCUGAGAGGACGACCAGCCACACUGGGACUGAGACACGGCCCAGACUCCUACGGGAGGCAGCAGUGGGGAAUUUUGGACAAUGGACGCAAGUCUGAUCCAGCCAUUCCGCGUGCAGGACGAAGGCCUUCGGGUUGUAAACUGCUUUUGUACAGAACGAAAAGGUCUCUAUUAAUAUUGGGGGCUCAUGACGGUACUGUAAGAAUAAGCACCGGCUAACUACGUGCCAGCAGCCGCAGUAA